rnacentral:rRNA from 1 species
AAGGAUUGACGGACUGAAGGACUCUUUCUCGAUUCUGUGGAAAGUGGUGCAUGGCCGUUUUUGGUUGGUGGAUCGAUCCGUCUGGUUAAUUCCGUUAACGAACGAGACCUCGGCACUCCGAAUAGCGCGGCGGACGUCGCGGCCUCCGGGCCGUCUUCCGCGCGAGCUUCUUAGAGGGGACCGUCCCCCCGCCGGGGAAGGAGGUUCGAGGCAACGACAGGUCUGUGAUGCCCCUUAGAUGUUCUGGGCCGCACGCGCAUUACACUGACGCGUCCAACGGGCGACUCCCGGCCCGAAGGGGUCGGGGAAUCCGCAAGGCGCGUCGUGAUGGGGAUUGAACGUUGCAAUUGUUGUUCACGAACGAGGAAUUCCUAGUAGGCGCGGGUCAUCAACCCCGCGCCGAUUACGUCCCUGCCCUUUGUACACACCGCCCG